rnacentral:rRNA from 1 species
UGAAGAGUUUGAUCAUGGCUCAGAUUGAACGCUGGCGGCAGGCUUAACACAUGCAAGUCGAGCGGUAACAGGUCUAGCUUGCUAGACGCUGACGAGCGGCGGACGGGUGAGUAAUGCUUAGGAAUCUGCCCAGUAGUGGGGGAUAGCCCGGGGAAACCCGGAUUAAUACCGCAUACGCCCUUUGGGGGAAAGCAGGGGAUCUUCGGACCUUGCGCUAUUGGAUGAGCCUAAGUCGGAUUAGCUAGUUGGUGGGGUAAAGGCCUACCAAGGCGACGAUCCGUAGCUGGUCUGAGAGGAUGAUCAGCCACAUCGGGACUGAGACACGGCCCGAACUCCUACGGGAGGCAGCAGUGGGGAAUAUUGGACAAUGGGGGCAACCCUGAUCCAGCCAUGCCG